GGGGGAAUAUUGCACAAUGGGGGAAACCCUGAUGCAGCGACGCCGCGUGAGUGAAGAAGUAUUUCGGUAUGUAAAGCUCUAUCAGCAGGGAAGAAAUCAAUGACGGUACCUGACUAAGAAGCCCCGGCUAACUACGUGCCAGCAGCCGCGGUAAUACGUAGGGGGCAAGCGUUAUCCGGAUUUACUGGGUGUAAAGGGAGCGUAGACGGCAUGGCAAGUCUGAAGUGAAAGGCCAGGGCUCAACCCUGGGACUGCUUUGGAAACUGUCAGGCUGGAGUGCAGGAGAGGUAAGUGGAAUUCCUAGUGUAGCGGUGAAAUGCGUAGAUAUUAGGAGGAACACCAGUGGCGAAGGCGGCUUACUGGACUGUAACUGACGUUGAGGCUCGAAAGCGUGGGGAGCAAACAGGAUUAGAUACCCUGGUAGU
rnacentral:rRNA from 1 species